rnacentral:rRNA from 1 species
GACGAACGCUGGCGGCGUGCUUAACACAUGCAAGUCGAGCGGUAAGGCCUUUCGGGGUACGCGAGCGGCGAACGGGUGAGUAACACGUGGGUGACCUGCCCUCCACUUCGGGAUAAGCCUGGGAAACUGGGUCUAAUACCGGAUAGGACCUCUGGAUGCAUGUCUGGGGGUGGAAAGUUUUGUCGGUGGGGGAUGGGCCCGCGGUCUAUCAGCUUGUUGGUGGGGUGAUGGCUUACCAAGGCGACGACGGAUAGCCGGCCUGAGAGGGUGAUCGGCCACACUGGGACUGAGACACGGCCCAGACUCCUACGGGAGGCAGCAGUGGGGAAUCUUGCGCAAUGGGCGGAAGCCUGACGCAGCAACGCCGCGUGGGGAUGACGGCC